AUACGUAGGUGACAAGCGUUAUCCGGAUUUACUGGGCGUAAAGGGCGUGUAGGCGGUCUUGCAAGUCAGAAGUGAAAUUCCUGAGCUCAACUCGGGCGCUGCUUCUGAAACUGCAGGACUUGAGUGCUGGAGGGGAUAGCGGAAUUCCUAGUGGAGCGGUAAAAUGCGCAGAUAUUAGGAAGAACACCGGUGGCGAAGGCGGCUAUCUGGAAAGUAACUGACGCUGAGGCGCGAAAGCGUGGGGAGCAAACAGGAUUAGAUCCCCUGGUAGUCCACGCCGUAAACGAUGAAUACUAGGUGUAGGGGGUAUCGACUCCCUCUGUGCCGCAGUUAACACAAUAAGUAUUCCGCCUGGGGAGUACGGCCGCAAGGUUGAAACUCAAAUGAAUUGACGGGG
rnacentral:rRNA from 1 species